rnacentral:rRNA from 1 species
AAUAUUGGACAAUGGGGGCAACCCUGAUCCACCCUUGCAGCGUGUGUGAAGAAGGUCUUCGGAUUGUAAAGCACUUUAAGUUGGGAGGAGGGGCUUUAGGUUAUUACCCUGAAGUUUUGACGUUACCAACAGAAUAGUCACGGGUAAACUCUGUGCCAGCAGCCGCGGUAAUACAGAGGGUGCAAGCGUUAAUCGGAAUUACUGGGCGUAAAGCGCGCGUAGGUGGUUCAGUAAGAUGGGUGUGAAAUCCCCGGGCUUAACCUGGGAACUGCUUUCAUAACUGCUGAGCUAGAGUACGGUAGAGGGUAGUGGAAUUUCCUGUGUAGCGGUGAAAUGCGUAGAUAUAGGAAGGAACACCAGUGGCGAAGGCGACUACCUGGACUGAUACUGACACUGAGGUGCGAAAGCGUGGGGAGCAAACAG